GGAGAAAUACCCAAGUGGCUGAAGGGUCCGGUCUUGAAAACCGGUAGGUGAUUAACGUCGCGCGGGGGUUCAAAUCCCUCUUUCUCCGCCA
rnacentral:tRNA from 1 species